rnacentral:rRNA from 1 species
UACGGAGGAUGCAAGCGUUAUCCGGAUUUACUGGGUGUAAAGGGAGCGUAGACGGAAAAGCAAGUCUGAAGUGAAAUCCCCGGGCUCAACCCGGGAACUGCUUUGGAAACUGUUUUUCUUGAGUGUCGGAGAGGUAAGCGGAAUUCCUGGUGUAGUAGUGAAAUGCGUAGAUAUCAGGAAGAACACCGGAGGCGAAGGCGGCUUACUGGACGAUAACUGACGUUGAGGCUCGAAGGCGUGGGGAGCAAAC